rnacentral:rRNA from 1 species
GACGAGCCUCACAAACGUUAUUCGGAAUUACUGGGCUUAAAGGGUGCGUAGGCGGCGUGGAAAGUUGGGUGUGAAAUCCCUCGGCUCAACCGAGGAACUGCGCCCAAAACUACCGUGCUCGAGGAAGAUAGAGGUGAGCGGAACUUACGGUGGAGCGGUGAAAUGCGUUGAUAUCGUAAGGAACACCCGUGGCGAAAGCGGCUCACUGGGUCUUCUCUGACGCUGAUGCACGAAAGCGUGGGGAGCAAACGGG